rnacentral:tRNA from 2 species
GGGACUUUAGUAUAAUGGUUAAUAUAUGUGGCUUUUAAUCAUCGAGAUGUAGGUUCGAAUCCUGCAAGUCCUA